rnacentral:tRNA from 1 species
GGAGGGCCCAGCCGAUUGGUCGGCGGCACCCGAUUCGAAAUCGGACUGCGGGGUUCCACCUCCGCGUGUGGGUUCGACUCCCACGCCCUCCG